rnacentral:lncRNA from 1 species
UUUAUUGACUCCAUCCGUGUAACAGUGCAAUGUAAUGUACAUAAUGGUGCAUUUUAUUAUAAAAGUGGUGUAAAAAAAUUUAUCUUGUAUUAUAACGGUGCAAUGUAAUAGACAUAAUAGUGUAAUUUUUUGAAGAAGUUGUGUAAAAGAAUUCAUGAUAAUUGUAACGUUGCAAUGUAAUAGACAUAAUAGUGAAAAUUGGUUAAACGAAU